UUUAAGCGUGUGAUUUUUUUCGUUUGUUUAUUUUGUGAAAUCGCGAGUGGAAAAAUGAUAGAAAAUUCAGAAAAAAAAAGUGCCGGUACAGCAACCGAAGAUAGCUCCUGCUGUUUCUAAGAGAGUGGCCGACAUCCAGCAACUUGGAGGAGAGCAAAAUACAUUCCAGCUACAAGUUAAAGACAGCGGUUGCCUUCAUCCAACACAGCAGUUCCAUUUUCAUUUCAUUAGAAUCUCCAGUAGAUUCCGUUCCCAGUAUCAGACGGACGAAUUUGAUCAUAAUCGGUUGGUUGAAAGCGGUUCCUAAAAGCUGACUUCAUAGCAUUGGCCAACAACCUGUAGAUUUUCCUGCAGCAUCAAACGAGAUCAGGCAUUUAAUACGAGCUACGUUAGGCAAACCUACUUCGAAGGAGCUACAUUACCAGAUGCUGACGAUGGCAGUGCUGGCGUCUUUGAUCCGGUUAAUUAGGAAUCCCUCAUCCCUGUUUAAUAAUGAAGUCCAGACAUGAGGAUUUUUUCCGCUGCAGCUUUCGUGCUGAUUUAGACUUAUGAUUCAAACUGUUACAACAAUGUUAUUAAAAUAUAUUAUAAUGCAUAUAUA